CCAGAGAGGAACACGAUGAGAACAAGACGAGUGAUGAAAGAGAGGUCCAGACAUGAAGGAGGCACACGCACACACAGACACACAUCCAUGGCACCUGGAGUCUGUCUGCGGUCUACCACCAGCCUGCCACACACACCCAUGACUGUGACGGUCGGCAGAUUAAGUGGGCGACGCCAUUCCAGCUGUGAGGAGAUGGAAGAAGUCAACACACAUGCACACACAGACGCACACAGACAGACACACAGAGCCGGGGGCGCACGAGCAUUAAGUCAGGCAGCUAAACAGAUCACGUCGCAGUAUGAUAUCUGCAGACAGGCAGACAGAGGAGGCCGGUUUGUACCUGCAGGCGCAGAGCAACAACUCCCAGCAACCUCGCCAGGAAUUUCCCUCCCCCUCCUGAGAGACAGAGAGAGAGGGGGGGGGGGGGAGCAACUGAAGGUGAGAGAAAGACAUAAAGUGGGAUUUCCACUGUCACGCAAAACACACAAUUUGAAACCUGAACACAAAGUGGCUGCUGCUUAAUUUAAUCGUUUCGGAUCUGAAGAGGUUCAAGGUCACACCAUCAGAUAUUUUCUACUACUGAGACUCAUCGACUAGAAAAUGAAGUCUCAGAGGCACAUGAUGAUUUUUAAUUUAUUUCAUAAAAAAGUCUGUAUACUUAUGUAUACUUAAUUACUUCUAUGUAUAAGCCCAGGAGUUUUCAUUAGAGGCUUUGAUGCUGACAUUUUAUUUGAGACCCACAAUGCCUACAGGCCUAUGUCCCUCAUUAAAAAUGCAUUAAUUACAUUAUACGAACUGUAAUAAUUACUGAAAUUAUAUCCACAUCCAGAGUUUUAUUGUAAGUUUGGAAAAAAAUUCUCCUUUUCAGUUUUUUUUUUUUUUGCCCAUUUUAUUCUGUUAGUUUUCGUCCACUGUGUUUUUCCAAAGCAAAGGUUUCCUUUUGAAAGAUGAGCUCGAUGGAGAGAUAAUCACACAAAGUUACAGCUGAGG